rnacentral:rRNA from 1 species
AGGAUGAACGCUGGCGGCGUGCCUAACACAUGCAAGUCGAACGUGAGGGUGUAGCAAUAUACCUGAAAGUGGCGAACGGGUGAGUAACACGUAGGUAACCUGCCGCGCAGAGGGGGAUAACGACUAGAAAUGGUCGCUAACACCGCAUGGUACUACUUUAGUGGGAACUAAAGUGGUUAAAACUUUGGUGCUGCGCGAGGGGCCUGCGUCCGAUUAGUUAGUUGGUGAGGUAAUGGCUCACCAAGACGAUGAUCGGUAGCUGGUCUGAGAGGAUGAUCAGUCACACGGGAACUGAGACACGGUCCCGACUCCUACGGGGGGCAGCAGUGAGGAAUAUUGCACAAUGGACGCAAGUCUGAUGCAGCAACGCCGCGUGGAGGAUGAAGGCCCUUGGGUCGUAAACUCCUUUUUCAGGGUAAGAGAAUGGACGGUACCUGAAGAAUAAGUCACGGCUAACUACGUGCCAGCAGCCGC